UACGAAGGGGGCUAGCGUUGCUCGGAAUUACUGGGCGUAAAGGGAGCGUAGGCGGAUGUUUAAGUCGGGGGUGAAAGCCCGGGGCUCAACCCCGGAACUGCCUUCGAUACUGGGCAUCUAGAGUACGGGAGAGGUGUGUGGAACUCCGAGUGUAGAGGUGAAAUUCGUAGAUAUUGGGUAGAACACCAGUGGCGAAGGCGACUCUCUGGUCCGAUACUGACGCUGAGGUGCGAAAGCGUGGGGAGCAAACAGG
rnacentral:rRNA from 1 species